rnacentral:ncRNA from 1 species
AUAAAGUUUUAUUCUAGCUUAAAUAAUUAGUUUUUAUUUUAUUUAUAUGUAAAUUUUUGUGUGGACUGAUUUUUACUUAAAUAGUAUUAAUUAUAUAAUUCAUUCGCAGUAUGUUUAGUUAUAAAUUAAUGAAAAUUUGAUUUAGAAAUAUAAUUUAGUAUCGACAAAAUUUGUGCCAGCAGUUGCGGUUAUACAAAUGAUGCAAUUAUUUCUUAUUGAUAAAUAGUUAGUUGUUUAUCUAAUUAUGUUAAUUUAAAUUUAUUAGGUGAAAUUAUAAAUUUAUUAAAUUAAUAUUUUUGGCUAAUGAAGCUAUGAAAUUUCUUUUAUAGACUAGGAUUAGAUACCCUAUUAUUGGAAAUGUGAAGUUUUAUGUUGAAUUAGUAUUAGUUAUUAUCUUGAAAAUUAAAGAUUUUGGCGGUGUUUUAGUCUUUUCAGAGGAACCUGUUCCGUAAUUGACAGUCCACGUUAUAUUGUGCUUGCUUUAAUUAGUUUGUAUAUCGUCGUAGUUGAACAUUUCAUUAGAAUAAAAAUGUUCGGAAUUUAUUAUUUUAAAAUAAAUCAGAUCAAGGUGCAGCUUAUAAGUAAGAGGAAAUGGGUUACAAUAAAUUUAUUUACACGGAUUUUUUAAUGAAAUUUUGUUUUGAAGGUGGAUUUGAAAGUAAUAAUAUAGAUUUUUUUAUUAUGGUUUAGCUCUAAAAUAUGCACAUAUUGCCCGUCGCUUUCAUUUAGAUUGAAAUAAGUCGUAACAAAGUAGGGGUACUGGAAAGUGUUUCUUGAUAG